rnacentral:rRNA from 1 species
UACGGAGGGGACUAGCGUUGUUCGGAAUUACUGGGCGUAAAGCGCACGUAGGCGGAUUUGUAAGUCAGGGGUGAAAUCCCGGGGCUCAACCUCGGAACUGCCUUUGAUACUGCAAAUCUCGAGUCCGGAAGAGGUGAGUGGAAUUCCUAGUGUAGAGGUGAAAUUCGUAGAUAUUAGGAAGAACACCAGUGGCGAAGGCGGCUCACUGGUUCCGGUACUGACGCUGAGGUGCGAAAAGCGUGGGGGAGCAAACAGG